CGAACCAGGGUACGUUGAAAAGUGCUUGGAUGAGUUGUGGCUAGGGGUGAAAGGCCAAUCAAACUCGGAGAUAUCUGGUUCUCGUCGAAAUGCCUUUAGGGGCAGCGUUGUAUUAUAGUGUAUCGGGGGUAGAGCACUAAAUGGGCUAGGGGGCCUACAAGCUUACCAAACCCAAUUAAACUCCGAAUACCGAUUACAUGUUAUACAGCAGUGAGGCUAUGGGUGAUAAGGUUCAUAGCCAAGAGGGAAACAACCCAGAUCAUCAGCUAAGGUCCCAAAAUUGAUACUAAGUGAUAAAGGAUGUGGAAUCGCCCAGACAGCUAGGAGGUUGGCUUAGAAGCAGCCAUCCUUUAAAGAAAGCGUAACAGCUCACUAGUCAAGGGGUUCUGCGCCGAUAAUUUCCGGGACUAAGUAUCAUACCGAAGCUAUGGGAUUCAUUCGAUUUGAAUGAAUCGGUAGACGAGCGUUCUAUUAACCUGUGAAGGUUGACCCGUGAGGGCAGCUGGAGGAGAUAGAAAUGAGUAUGCUGGAAUGAGUAGCGAUAAAGCCUGUGAAAUGCAGGCUCGCCGAAAGCGUAAGGUUUCCUGAGUAAAGUUAAUCUGCUCAGGGUUAGUCGGACCCUAAGCCGAGGCCGAAAGGCGUAGGCGAUGGAAAACAGGUUUAAUAUUCCUGUACCAGUUUAAUAUUGUUUGAACUAUGGGGGGACGCAGAAGUGAAAGGAGAUCCCGGUUUUGAUUGUCCGGGUUUAAGAGAGUAGGAAGUUCUGAUAGGUAAAUCCGUUAGAAUAAUUCUGAGACUCGAAUAGGAGGGCCUAGCCCACAAACUCUCCCUAAUCCUGCUGCCAAGAAAAUCCUCUAUGUUAGAUAUUAGACUGACCGUACCGUAAACGGACACACGUACGCGAGGAGAGAAUCCUAAGGCGCUUGAGAGAAUCCAAGUAAAGGAACUAGGCAAAUUAGCCCCGUAACUUCGGGAGAAGGGGUGCCAUUUAAGGAGAAGAACUUUUCGUUCUGAUUUUUAUUUGGCCGCAGCGACCAGGCCCAAGCGACUGUUUACUAAAAACACAGGUCUCUGCUAAGUCGUAAGACGAAAUAUAGGGACUGACACCUGCCCGGUGCUGGAAGGUUAAAUGGAGAGGUUAGCUCCGGCGAAGCUUUGAAACGAAGCCCCAGUAAACGGCGGCCGUAACUAUAACGGUCCUAAGGUAGCGAAAUUCCUUGUCGGGUAAGUUCCGACCUGCACGAAUGGUGUAACGAUUUGGGCACUGUCUCUACUUGGAGCUCAGCGAAAUUGAAGUGUCGGUGAAGAUGCCGGCUACCCGCGGCCGGACGAAAAGACCCCGUGAACCUUUACUACAACUUAUCAUUGGAUACUGAUUCUGCUUGUGCAGGAUAGGUGGGAGACUUUGAAGCAGUAGCGCUAGUUACU
rnacentral:rRNA from 1 species